GAAAGAACGCAGCGAAAUGCGAUACGUAGUGUGAAUUGCAGAAUUCAGUGAAUCAUCGAAUCUUUGAACGCACAUUGCACCUCUCGGUAUUCCGGGAGGUAUGCCUGUUCGAGCGUCAUUUGUACCCUCAAGCUCUGCUUGGUGUUGGGUGUUUGUUCCGCCUCUGUGUGUGAACUCGCCUCAAAACAAUUGGCAGCCGGCGUACUUGUUUCGGAGCGCAGCACAUUUUGCGAUCCAGAUCAACGUACAGCGGCAUCCAAGAAGCCUUAUUUAACGCUCUUGACCUCGGAUCAGGUAGGGAUACCCGCUGAACUUAAGCAUAUCAAUAAGCGGAGGA
rnacentral:misc_RNA from 1 species